GCUGGAGGUAUCAGAAGUGCGAAUGCUGACAUAAGUAACGAUAAAGCGGGUGAAAAGCCCGCUCGCCGGAAGACCAAGGGUUCCUGUCCAACGUUAAUCGGGGCAGGGUGAGUCGACCCCUAAGGCGAGGCCGAAAGGCGUAGUCGAUGGGAAACAGGUUAAUAUUCCUGUACUUGGUGUUACUGCGAAGGGGGGACGGAGAAGGCUAUGUUAGCCGGGCGACGGUUGUCCCGGUUUAAGCAUGUAGGCUGGUUGUCCAGGCAAAUCCGGAUAAUCAAGGCUGAGGUGUGAUGACGAGGCACUACGGUGCUGAAGUAACAAAUGCCCUGCUUCCAGGAAAAGCCUCUAAGCAUCAGGUAACAUCAAAUCGUACCCCAAACCGACACAGGUGGUCAGGUAGAGAAUACCAAGGCGCUUGAGAGAACUCGGGUGAAGGAACUAGGCAAAAUGGUGCCGUAACUUCGGGAGAAGGCACGCUGGUGUGUAGGUGAAGUCCCUGCGGAUGGAGCUGAGACCAGUCGAAGAUACCAGCUGGCUGCAACUGUUUAUUAAAAACACAGCACUGUGCAAACACGAAAGUGGACGUAUACGGUGUGACGCCUGCCCGGUGCCGGAAGGUUAAUUGAUGGGGUUAUCCGUAAGGAGAAGCUCUUGAUCGAAGCCCCGGUAAACGGCGGCCGUAACUAUAACGGUCCUAAGGUAGCGAAAUUCCUUGUCGGGUAAGUUCCGACCUGCACGAAUGGCGUAAUGAUGGCCAGGCUGUCUCCACCCGAGACUCAGUGAAAUUGAACUCGCUGUGAAGAUGCAGUGUACCCGCGGCAAGACGGAAAGACCCCGUGAACCUUUACUAUAGCUUGACACUGAACAUUGAGCCUUGAUGUGUAGGAUAGGUGGGAGGCUUUGAAGCGUGGACGCCAGUCUGCGUGGAGCCAACCUUGAAAUACCACCCUUUAAUGUUUGAUGUUCUAACGUUGGCCCCUUACCGGGGUUGCGGACAGUGUCUGGUGGGUAGUUUGACUGGGGCGGUCUCCUCCCAAAGCGUAACGGAGGAGCACGAAGGUUAGCUAAUCCUGGUCGGACAUCAGGAGGUUAGUGCAAUGGCAUAAGCUAGCUUGACUGCGAGCGUGACGGCGCGAGCAGGUGCGAAAGCAGGUCAUAGUGAUCCGGUGGUUCUGAAUGGAAGGGCCAUCGCUCAACGGAUAAAAGGUACUCCGGGGAUAACAGGCUGAUACCGCCCAAGAGUUCAUAUCGACGGCGGUGUUUGGCACCUCGAUGUCGGCUCAUCACAUCCUGGGGCUGAAGUAGGUCCCAAGGGUAUGGCUGUUCGCCAUUUAAAGUGGUACGCGAGCUGGGUUUAGAACGUCGUGAGACAGUUCGGUCCCUAUCUGCCGUGGGCGCUGGAGAAUUGAGGGGGGCUGCUCCUAGUACGAGAGGACCGGAGUGGACGCAUCACUGGUGUUCGGGUUGUCAUGCCAAUGGCACUGCCCGGUAGCUAAAUGCGGAAGAGAUAAGUGCUGAAAGCAUCUAAGCACGAAACUUGCCCCGAGAUGAGUUCUCCCUGAGACUUUAAGUCUCCUGAAGGAACGUUAAAGACGAUGACGUUGAUAGGCCGGGUGUGUAAGCGCAGCGAUGCGUUGAGCUAACCGGUACUAAUGAACCGUGAGGCUUAACCUU
rnacentral:rRNA from 1 species